rnacentral:rRNA from 1 species
UACGUAGGGGGCAAGCGUUGUCCGGAUUUAUUGGGCGUAAAGAGCGUGUAGGCGGCCAUGCAGGUCCGCUGUGAAAACUCGAGGCUCAACCUCGAGACGUCGGUUGAAACCGUAUGGCUAGAGUCCGGAAGAGGAGAGUGGAAUUCCCGGUGUAGCGGUGAAAUGCGCAGAUAUCGGGAAGAACACCCAUGGCGAAGGCAGCUCUCUGGGACGGUACUGACGCUGAGACGCGAAAGCGUGGGGAGCGAACAGG